UAUGUAUAAUAAGUAGUCUUA
rnacentral:piRNA from 1 species